UACGUAGGGCGCAAGCGUUGUCCGGAAUUAUUGGGCGUAAAGAGCUCGUAGGUGGUUUGCUACGUCCGCUGUGAAAACCUAGGGCUUAACCCUGGGCCUGCAGUGGAUACGGGCAGACUAGAGGUAGGUAGGGGAGAAUGGAAUUCCCGGUGUAGCGGUGAAAUGCGCAGAUAUCGGGAGGAACACCGGUGGCGAAGGCGGUUCUCUGGGCAGUAACUGACGCUGAGGAGCGAAAGCGUGGGGAGCGAACAGG
rnacentral:rRNA from 1 species